UACGUAGGGGGCAAGCGUUGUCCGGAUUUAUUGGGCGUAAAGAGCGUGUAGGCGGCCUGGUAGGUCAGCUGUGAAAACUCGAGGCUCAACCUCGAGAUGUCAUCGGAAACCAUUUGGCUAGAGUCCGGAAGAGGAGAGUGGAAUUCCUGGUGUAGCGGUGAAAUGCGUAGAUAUUGGGAGGAACACCAGUGGCGAAGGCGGCUCACUGGACCGGAACUGACGCUGAGGCGCGAAAGCGUGGGGAGCAAACAGG
rnacentral:rRNA from 1 species